rnacentral:rRNA from 1 species
GACGAACGCUGGCGGCGUGCUUAACACAUGCAAGUCGAACGGAAAGGCCCCCUUGUGGGGUACUCGAGUGGCGAACGGGUGCGUAACACGUGAGUAACCUACCCUUGACUUUGGGAUAACUUCAGGAAACUGGGGCUAAUACCGGAUAGGCGCUCCUGCUGCAGGGUGGGGGUUGGAAAGUUUCGGCGGUUGGGGAUGGGCUCGCGGCUGAUCAGCUUGUUGGUGGGGUAGUGGCUCACCAAGGCGUUGACGGGUAGCCGGCCUGAGAGGGUGACCGGCCACAUUGGGACUGAGAUACGGCCCAGACUCCUACGGGAGGCAGCAGUGGGGAAUAUUGCACAAUGGGCGGAAGCCUGAUGCAGCAACGCCGCGUGCGGGAUGACGGCCUUCGGGUUGUAAACCGCUUUCGCCUGUGACGAAGCGUGAGUGACGGUAAUGGGUAAAGAAGCACCGGCUAACUACGUG